rfam:[Clostridium] hungatei strain DSM 14427 CLHTN_contig000005, whole genome shotgun sequence.
UAAAAGCUUUUCGCUGAAAUUGUAGGCUUACAGCAUGCUGAUUUGGCAGUUAAAUUGACAAGGAUGUCAAUUUAAGCAGCACCCGAGACCUGGAUGGUCGAGUUGCUGCGACGGCUAAAAAAGCAUGCUGUAAGGUGUACUAUUUCGCCAAAAGCGUUAU